rnacentral:lncRNA from 1 species
GAUUGUCAGUCUACCUGGAGACAAUGGCUAGCUGUGACAAUGUUUGAACAUCUUGCCGUUGCUUAACUGAUAGCAGCCAGGGGAACUUUUUGCCUCAAUCAGCUCCCAAUUCUCGACUGGGAAUCACCAGAGCAGGUCCAGGCAACCAGAACUGAAAUUGAUAGAGAAGAGACGUGCUGAUAAAGAAAUCCACAGCUGGAAUCACCUUCAUGAAGUGCAGGUUCCCCAGAUUCAGAUCGGAUGAUCCAUCAUACUUAUUCGCGACGCGUCAUCAGCGUUCCAUCUACUUGGGAGUAUGUGAGGAAUGUAAGAUCGACUCUUUGUGCUUUUUGUUGGAAUAAGAUUCCCCCGUGAG